rnacentral:rRNA from 1 species
GAUGAACGCUGGCGGCGUGCCUAAUACAUGCAAGUCGAGCGAACGGACGAGAAGCUUGCUUCUCUGAUGUUAGCGGCGGACGGGUGAGUAACACGUGGAUAACCUACCUAUAAGACUGGGAUAACUUCGGGAAACCGGAUCUAAUACCGGCUAAUAUUUUGAACCGCAUGGUUCAAAAGUGAAAGACGGUCUUGCUGUCACUUAUAGAUGGAUCCGCGCUGCAUUAGCUAGUUGGUAAGGUAACGGCUUACCAAGGCAACGAUGCAUAGCCGACCUGAGAGGGUGAUCGGCCACACUGGAACUGAGACACGGUCCAGACUCCUACGGGAGGCAGCAGUAGGGAAUCUUCCGCAAUGGGCGCAAGCCUGACGGAGCAACGCCGCGUGAGUGAUGAAGGUCUUCGGAUCGUAAAACUCUGUUAUUAGGGAAGAACAUAUGUGUAAGUAACUGUGCACAUCUUGACGGUACCUAAUCAGAAAGCCACGGCUAACUACGUG